AUUGAACGCUGGCGGCAGGCCUAACACAUGCAAGUCGAGCGAACCUAGCUUGCUAGGUGAGCGGCGAACGGGUGAGUAACGCGUAGGAAUCUGCCUGGUAGUGGGGGACAACGUUCCGAAAGGAACGCUAAUACCGCAUACGCCCUACGGGGGAAAGUGGGGGAUCUUCGGACCUCACGCUAUCAGAUGAGCCUGCGUCGGAUUAGCUAGUUGGUAGGGUAAAGGCCUACCAAGGCGACGAUCCGUAACUGGUCUGAGAGGAUGAUCAGUCACACCGGAACUGAGACACGGUCCGGACUCCUACGGGAGGCAGCAGUGGGGAAUAUUGGACAAUGGGGGCAACCCUGAUCCAGCCAUGCCGCGUGUGUGAAGAAGGCCUUCGGGUUGUAAAGCACUUUAGGUCGGGAGGAAGGUUCGCUGGCUAAUAUCCAGCGGAAUUGACGUUACCGACAGAAUAAGCACCGGCUAACUCCGUGCCAGCAGCCGCAGUAA
rnacentral:rRNA from 1 species